rnacentral:rRNA from 1 species
CCCUUAGAUGUUCUGGGCCGCACGCGCGCUACACUGAUGCAUUCAACGAGUCUAAAACCUGGUCUGAUAGGGCUGGGUAAUCUUUUGAAAGUGCAUCGUGAUUGGGAUAGAUGAUUGCAAUUCUUCAUCUUCAACGAGGAAUGCCUAGUAAACGCAAGUCAUCAGCUUGCAUUGAUUACGUCCCUGCCCUUUGUACACACCGCCCGUCGCUCCUACCGAUUGAAUGAUCCGAUGAAUACCAUGGAUUGAGAGUACGAAUGGGUUCGCUCAUUUCUGCUGCUCGAGAAGUGGAGUAAAUCUUAUCAUUUAGAAGAAGGAGAAGUCGUAACA